rnacentral:rRNA from 1 species
AGCGAACGCUGGCGGCAGGCUUAACACAUGCAAGUCGAGCGGGCAUCUUCGGAUGUCAGCGGCAGACGGGUGAGUAACACGUGGGAACGUACCCUUCGGUUCGGAACAACUCUGGGAAACUGGAGCUAAUACCGGAUACGCCCUUAUGGGGAAAGGUUUACUGCCGAAGGAUCGGCCCGCGUCUGAUUAGCUAGUUGGUGGGGUAACGGCCUACCAAGGCGACGCUCAGUAGCUGGUCUGAGAGGAUGAUCAGCCACACUGGGACUGAGACACGGCCCAGACUCCUACGGGAGGCAGCAGUGGGGAAUAUUGGACAAUGGGCGCAAGCCUGAUCCAGCCGUGCCGCGUGAGUGAUGAAGGCCUUAGGGUUGUAAAGCUCUUUUGUCCGGGACGAUAAUGACGGUACCGGAAGAAUAAGCCCCGGCUAACUUCGUG